rnacentral:rRNA from 1 species
AUUGAACGCUGGCGGCAGGCCUAACACAUGCAAGUCGAACGGUAACAGGAAGCAGCUUGCUGCUUUGCUGACGAGUGGCGGACGGGUGAGUAAUGUCUGGGAAACUGCCUGAUGGAGGGGGAUAACUACUGGAAACGGUGGCUAAUACCGCAUAACGUCGCAAGACCAAAGAGGGGGACCUUCGGGCCUCUUGCCAUCAGAUGUGCCCAGAUGGGAUUAGCUAGUUGGUGAGGUAACGGCUCACCAAGGCGACGAUCCCUAGCUGGUCUGAGAGGAUGACCAGCCACACUGGAACUGAGACACGGUCCAGACUCCUACGGGAGGCAGCAGUGGGGAAUAUUGCACAAUGGGCGCAAGCCUGAUGCAGCCAUGCCGCGUGUAUGAAGAAGGCCUUCGGGUUGUAAAGUACUUUCAGCGGGGAGGAAGGUGUUGUGGUUAAUAACCGCAGCAAUUGACGUUACCCGCAGAAGAAGCACCGGCUAACUCCGUGCCAGCAGCCGCGGUAAUACGGAGGGUGCAAGCGUUAAUCGGAAUUACUGGGCGUAAAGCGCACGCAGGCGGUCUGUCAAGUCGGAUGUGAAAUCCCCGGGCUCAACCUGGGAACUGCAUUCGAAACUGGCAGGCUUGAGUCUUGUAGAGGGGGGUAGAAUUCCAGGUGUAGCGGUGAAAUGCGUAGAGAUCUGGAGGAAUACCGGUGGCGAAGGCGGCCCCCUGGACAAAGACUGACGCUCAGGUGCGAAAGCGUGGGGAGCAAACAGGAUUAGAUACCCUGGUAGUCCACGCCGUAAACGAUGUCUACUUGGAGGUUGUGCCCUUGAGGCGUGGCUUCCGGAGCUAACGCGUUAAGUAGACCGCCUGGGGAGUACGGCCGCAAGGUUAAAACUCAAAUGAAUUGACGGGGGCCCGCACAAGCGGUGGAGCAUGUGGUUUAAUUCGAUGCAACGCGAAGAACCUUACCUGGUCUUGACAUCCACGGAAGUUUUCAGAGAUGAGAAUGUGCCUUCGGGAACCGUGAGACAGGUGCUGCAUGGCUGUCGUCAGCUCGUGUUGUGAAAUGUUGGGUUAAGUCCCGCAACGAGCGCAACCCUUAUCCUUUGUUGCCAGCGGUCCGGCCGGGAACUCAAAGGAGACUGCCAGUGAUAAACUGGAGGAAGGUGGGGAUGACGUCAAGUCAUCAUGGCCCUUACGACCAGGGCUACACACGUGCUACAAUGGCGCAUACAAAGAGAAGCGACCUCGCGAGAGCAAGCGGACCUCAUAAAGUGCGUCGUAGUCCGGAUUGGAGUCUGCAACUCGACUCCAUGAAGUCGGAAUCGCUAGUAAUCGUGGAUCAGAAUGCCACGGUGAAUACGUUCCCGGGCCUUGUACACACCGCCCGUCACACCAUGGGAGUGGGUUGCAAAAGAAGUAGGUAGCUUAACCUUCGGGAGGGCGCU